AAGGGCAGGUGGUACAUAAAGAGAGAGAAACUGCCUUUCCAACAUCAACUUGUGUAAAAGCUGAAGGAGGCUACAGGCAAAAGGAAAAGUGAAGAAUGCAUCUGUCAAGGUCCAAAUAUAAGAUAAAAAAUCUAAAAGGAGAGCUACAGCAACAAAAGCAGAACAAAGGAGAACGCUUGAAAUCAUAUGAGGUUAAUUUCUAUAAAGUUUUCUAUAGCAUUAAAUUCAUGAUUCAGCAUUUCCAUGGAAAAAGGCUAUAAACAUUUUUAAAUGUCAGCUUUGUGGGUAGGAAGCUGAUAAACAAGAUGUGACAGUGUGGUGUAGAGGAGAGAGUCCCAGCAUGCAAGAUAAGAACUAGUUCUAAGCCAAACUACAGUGUGUGAUUUUAGACAAGUCACUUUAUCUCCUUCUCUUGGUUUCUAUAUCUGUAAAACAGAGAAUAAUACCUACCUGUUUCCCUUACAAGGUUGAUUCUGAUGAUUGGAGUUACUGCUGUGAAGCACUUUGAAUAUUUGUUUUGCUAUAUAAAUGCUAAGUGCAUGUCAUCAGCUGUUCCUGGUGAAUUAAGAAAACAAGUGACUGUUGCCGCUGCGGUUAUUUCUGCUUCUUCCAGAGUGCUAGACAAACAUCAUAAACAACAGGAAUAUACUGCAUGGUGCUGGUUACCAGUGCUAGGACUUCAAUUGCUAAAACAAACUGCUCUGUCUCCCUUCCUCAUCUGAAAUGGAACAGAAAAACCAGCUGUUAAGGACAGAGAAAAAACUCAACUACAUUUCUGAUAAAUUUCAAUUUUAUGUCCAAUCUAGUUUAUGGAGGAAGAAACAUAUAAAAAUGUGUACAUUCUCUGCAUCAGAGAGAAGAAAGAUAGGAAAGAUAGGAAAUGAAUGUAAAAGGUAGUUUCAGACCCUGUGCACACUGUGAUGAAAAAUAAAAUAUAUUUAAGCA